CAUGGCUAAUGUCUUGCCCCUUUCCGUCCCCUUUGCAUGUUUGAGCUGUUCCCCUGGGUCCCCCCCACUCACUCAGGGUUAGUUCUGGGAUCAAGCAGGCUACACACGGGAACAUCAGAGGCUGCUCAGUGCCACACUCAGUUUUGAGCAGCUUUGCAGGCUUUAAAGCCAUAGGAGCUGGUUAGAUCAUCUAAUAUGACCCCCUGCAUAUCACAGGCCUCCUGUCUGGGGCAGCAGCGAGUCGUGAACCAAAGCACACUCCAGCAAGGCAUCUGGUCUUCACUGACAUCAAGAGAUGGAGAAACCACCGCUUCCCUUGGUGGCCACCUUACCCUGUGAGCCGACAUCAAGAGAGGAAGAGCAAUUUCUCAUGCUACGCAGCUUGUCACUGGAGUCCCUUAUAACCAUGGCUCACCUGCCCUGAACUUCCUACAAUGUUGCUCUUUUGGAGUUAUGAAUUAUGGACCUUUUUAUACACCCACUAAAGUCAACCACAGUGCUUUUAUGGACUUCAGUAGAGCCGGAUCAGGGCCUAUAUAAAGGACAGCAAAAUAUAUUUUAUUUCUGUGUCAGAUACACAUUAGCUUUUCUGAAAGGAACACUGUGCCUUCAUUAUCAGUCAAAUACCAUCUACAGAGAUUAAUAACUUGUGUAUUUUUUAAACAAACUCUUUACCUGCUUGGAGUUUGCGUCAAUGGAAUUUGCCACAGACUUCAUCCUUUGCUGCAGACCUGUAGUCUACAAUUUAUAUUUUUGUUUCCAGUCUUUAAAAGCAGAGCUGUCUUCCUGAGUCUAUAAACAGACUAAAACAUAAUAGAUCUAAGUGGUGUGA